UCUCUCUCCCUCUCUCCCCGUCUCUGGAUCUCUCUCGCUCUCGCCCUCUCUCCCCCUUGUCUCUGGAUCUCUGGAUCUCUCUCCCUCUCUCCCCCUGUCUCUGGAUAUCUCUCCCUCUCCCCCUGUCUCUGGAUCUCUCUCCCUCUCCCCCUGUCUCUGGAUCUCUGUCUCUGGAUCUCUCUCGCUCUCUCCCUCUCUCCCCCUGUCUCUGGAUCUCUCUCCCUCUCCCCCUGUCUCUGGAUCUCUCUCGCUCUCUCCCUCUCUCCCCCGUCUCUGGAUCUCUCUCCCUCUCUCCCCCGUCUCUCGCUCUCUCCCUCUCCCCCUGUCUCUGGAUCUCUCUUACACUCUGCUUCUCCCUCUUUUCCUUCUUCGCCCCUUGCCUUGGGUCUGUCGGGUGCCCCCAGUAAGCCCUCCCCCUUACUCCAGUGUUCUGUGUGCUUCGGGGCGCCCUGCACGCUGCCCCCCGGGCAGAGGUCCGGGGCAGCGCCACUUUCAAGGAGCAGCCCCCUCCCUCAGCGCCUCCCCCUCGCUGGGGCUCCCACACUAGGGCGUGGACCAGGGGACAAGGAGCUGGGACAGGGCCCCGCCUGCCUCACUCGGGUGGGGGCUCUGAGGACCCAACUCUUCCCCCCGGAGCCUUGGGGAUGUGCUGGGACGUGGAGCUGGCGCCAUUCCGGACUGAGAAGGGGCCCUUUGGGUCCCGGCCCGUGCCCCGCUCUGCAGCCCCUACCGCCGCCGAGCUGCGGCCCGCUGACCCGGUCCCAGGGUCGGCUGACCCGGUCCCGGGCCGGCUGUGCGCGGCCUUCUAGCUCAUUCUCAACCGGCCUGCGAGCUGCGGCGGCGCGGCCUCUGCUCGAAGACUUAUCGCUUGAUUGUCACCGAGUUCCAGGGUGGCCCUGCCCGGACCCGCCAGAGCAAAGUGACCGAAAGCAACCAGUGCGAGCCGGGCAGCCGCCAGCGCCUAAGCCAUGCCGGGCACGAGGUCCACGCCGGCCAGGCCGACGUGACCGGGCCAGGCUGAACACCGGGCACUCACGGGCCCAGCCUCUACAGUCCACGCAAACGCUCCGCAGACCUCGAGCUCGCACCGGAAGGAGCUCCUGGGAACCGGCCCCGGCGUCCCGACCUCUGACCCGGGCCCGCGGGGCACCCCUGGGCGGCCUCGGCUCCCCGCGGGCCGGUCACGCGAGACGGCAGCUCCGGCGGGAGCCCCGGGCCCCACGCCCUCACCGCGCGGCGCUCGGGGGCCUCGGGACGCGGGCCGGGCUCCGCUGUCCCGCAGAGGACAUCUGCGACUGCCCCGGGGACCUUCAGGCCCGCGCCGGCCGCCGGACCCGAGCCGAGCUCCGGGCCUCGCGAGUUCUCCUCAGACGGACGCGGCGGGGCGGCCCCGUGCAGCGCGGAGGGGCGGGGCCGGGGCGGGGCCUGCGGGAGGGGCGGGGCCGGGGCCUGCGGGAGGGGCCUCGGGUGAGGCGGGGUCCGUAG
rnacentral:lncRNA from 1 species